rnacentral:rRNA from 1 species
CACAUGAACAUUGACAAUUCGAACGCACAUUGCG